rnacentral:rRNA from 1 species
CACGUAGGGGACGAGCGUUGUCCGGAUUCAUUGGGCGUAAAGCGCGCGUAGGCGGCUCGGAAAGUCGGUCGUGAAAUGCCGGGGCUCAACCCCGGGACUGCGUCCGAUACUCCCGAGCUGGAGGCAGGUAGGGGAGAUCGGAAUUCCUGGUGUAGCGGUGAAAUGCGCAGAUAUCAGGAGGAACACCGGUGGCGAAGGCGGGUCUCUGGGCCGAUACUGACGCUGAGGAGCGAAAGCGUGGGGAGCGAACAGG